rnacentral:lncRNA from 7 species
GGUGUACAUAUACCAAGGAAUUAAAAACAACAAAAUAUUUCUGCGAUCAGAACUACUUUACUUUUGCAAGAACUGAAACCACAUAAAACUUAAAAAAUAAAUUUCCUCACAAUAAUUUAACCCCUCCAGUCUAAGUAAUUGUCACCAUUGACUUUCUAUGUUCUUCAAGAUUUAACUCUCACUAUUAUGUUUUUCUUAUCAUACCACAUAAGAGCAUUAUCUAGGUUCUUAUUGUGGUCAUUCUGGGCAUACAUCAGAGGGGAGGACCAGUAACUCCAAAUCCAUGAUUUCUUGAUGUUAUCUACAGAAAGAGAGCUGAGUCCCACACACUGGACACUAAACAAUGACUGAAUGGUUACAUUACAUACUUCUUGUUGCAGUAGGAAGAGAGAUGGUUGUUGCAGACACGUUUGGCUCAUUU